rnacentral:tRNA from 1 species
GGGAAGGUAGUCUAGCUUGGUAUGAUUCUUGGUUCGGAUCCAAGAGGUCGGGGGUUCAAUUCCCUCCUUUCCCA